rnacentral:rRNA from 1 species
GACGAACGCUGGCGGCGUGCUUAACACAUGCAAGUCGAACGGAAAGGCCCUUCUUUCAUGGUACUCGAGUGGCGAACGGGUGAGUAACACGUGGGUGAUCUGCCCUGCACUUCGGGAUAAGCCUGGGCAACUGGGUCUAAUACCUGAUAGGAGCCAUUUUUAGUGUGAUGGUUGGAAAGUUUUUUCGGUGUAGGAUGAGCUCGCGGCCUAUCAGCUUGUUGGUUGGGUAAUGGCCUACCAAGGCGGCGACGGGUAGCCGGCCUGAGAGGGUGGACGGCCACAUUGGGACUGAGAUACGGCCCAGACACCGACGGGAGGCAGCAGAGGGGAAUAAUGCACAAUGGGCGAAAGCCUGAGGCAGCGACGCCGCGUGGGGGAUGACGGCCUUCGGGUUGGAAACUCCUUUCGCUAGGGACGAAGCGUUUGGUGACGGUACCUAGAUAAGAAGCACCGGCUAACUACGUG